rnacentral:rRNA from 1 species
UGGAGGAAAGUAGGGGAUCGAAAGACCUUAUGCUUUUGGAGCGGCCGAUGUCUGAUUAGCUAGUUGGUAAGGUAAUGGCUUACCAAGGCAACGAUCAGUAGUUGGUCUGAGAGGACGACCAGCCACACUGGGACUGAGACACGGCCCAGACUCCUACGGGAGGCAGCAGUGGGGAAUUUUGGACAAUGGGCGCAAGCCUGAUCCAGCAAUGCCGCGUGAGUGAAGAAGGCCUUCGGGUUGUAAAGCUCUUUCAGUUGAGAAGAAAAGAUUGUGACUAAUAAUUGCAAUUCAUGACGGUAUCAACAGAAGAAGCACCGGCUAACUACGUGCCAGCAGCCGCGGUAAUACGUAGGGUGCGAGCGUUAAUCGGAAUUACUGGGCGUAAAGGGUGCGCAGGCGGUUCUGUAAGUCAGAUGUGAAAUCCCCGGGCUUAACCUGGGAACUGCGUUUGAAACUACAAGGCUAG